rnacentral:rRNA from 1 species
GGUUAAUUCGAAGCAACGCGAAGAACCUUACCAGGGCUUGACAUCCCUUGAAGCAGCUAGAGAUAGCUGUGUCCUUCGGGACAAGGAGACAGGUGGUGCAUGGUUGUCGUCAGCUCGUGUCGUGAGAUGUUCGGGUUAAAGUCCCGCAACGAGCGCAACCCUUGUCAUUAGUUGCUACGAAAGGGCACUCUAAUGAGACUGCCGGUGACAAAACCGGAGGAAAGGUGGGGAUGACGUCAAGUCCUCAUGGCCCUUAUGGGUAGGGCUUCACACGUCAUACAAUGGUCGGUACAGAGGGCUGCCAACCCGCAAGGGGGAGCCAAUCCCUUAAAACCGAUCGUAGUCCGGAUUGAGGUCUGCAACUCGACCUCAUGAAGUCGGAAUCGCUAGUAAUCGCGGAUCAGCAUGUCGCGGUGAAUACGUUCCCGGGUCUU